GACCACUAAUCGGAAAAGACUACCCGCUGAGUUUAA
rnacentral:rRNA from 1 species